GAUGAACGCUGGCGGCGUGCUUAACACAUGCAAGUCGAACGAAGCACUUUAUUUGAUUUCCUUCGGGACUGAUUCUUUUGUGACUGAGUGGCGGACGGGUGAGUAACGCGUGGGUAACCUGCCUUGUACAGGGGGAUAACAGUUGGAAACGGCUGCUAAUACCGCAUAAGCGCACGGCAUCGCAUGAUGCAGUGUGAAAAACUCCGGUGGUAUAAGAUGGACGCGCGUUGGAUUGGCUAGUUGGUGAGGUAACGGCACACCAAGGCGACGAUCCAUAGCCGACCUGAGAGGGUGACCGGCUACAUUGGGACUGAGACACGGCCCAAACUCCGACGGGAAGGAGCGGUGGGGAAUAUUGCACAAUGGGCGAAAGCGUGAUGCAGCGACGCGGCGUGAGCGAAGAAGUAUGUCGGUAUGUAAAGCUCUAUCAGCAGGGAAGAUAAUGACGGUACCUGAUUAAGAAGCACCGGCUAAAUACGUG
rnacentral:rRNA from 1 species